CCGUAGGUGAACCUGCGGAAGGAUCAUUACUGAUUUGCUUAAUUGCACCACAUGUGUUUUUCUUUGAAACAAACUUGCUUUGGCGGUGGGCCCAGCCUGCCGCCAGAGGUCUAAACUUACAACCAAUUUUUUAUCAACUUGUCACACCAGAUUAUUACUUAAUAGUCAAAACUUUCAACAACGGAUCUCUUGGUUCUCGCAUCGAUGAAGAACGCAGCGAAAUGCGAUACGUAAUAUGAAUUGCAGAUAUUCGUGAAUCAUCGAAUCUUUGAACGCACAUUGCGCCCUCUGGUAUUCCGGAGGGCAUGCCUGUUUGAGCGUCGUUUCUCCCUCAAACCGCUGGGUUUGGUGUUGAGCAAUACGACUUGGGUUUGCUUGAAAGACGGUAGUGGUAAGGCGGGAUCGCUUUGACAAUGGCUUAGGUCUAACCAAAAACAUUGCUUGCGGCGGUAACGUCCACCACGUAUAUCUUCAAACUUUGACCUCAAAUCAGGUAGGACUACCCGCUGAACUUAAGCAUAUCAAUAAGCGGAGGAA
rnacentral:rRNA from 1 species